CCAGCCCCCCGCAAGCACCUGGAGCAGUUUCCGCAGUCGAUGAUGGCGUUGUAGGAGGCGUUUACCGAGCCGAAGUAGUACUGGGUCUGUUUCAUGACGCAACUGCUCUCGCGCGCCUCGGAGCUCCCCUCGGCCUCCGCGGGGUCUGAGAGGGCCCAGAGCGCCUCAGCCCCGCCCACAGGCCUCGCUCAGCCGCAAGCCCCGCCCUCCCCUUGGAGUCGUCUCUGCUCCGAUCGGGGACGGGGAUUUAAGGCGGGCCUCCAAAGUCCUACCUACCCGCUUGGAACCAGCUGUGGUAGAUGAGGCCGUAGAGAAGCUGCUGGAACAAGGACCUGCAGGGCACGGGGCACCGAGUGGAGGUGGUCGGCAGAGGCCGGUGCCCUGUCCCACUGCUUUUUUGAACUCUCCCGGCCAGGGAGCACCUUCUCUACCCAGCCCCCUCAGGACUCACCAGGCGGCAGCAGAGGUCCACCAGGCCAAAUUAAGAAAGUCCGCAAUGCACCAGGAAUCCCCCGUCAUCAAUGAGGACACAGAGUUGGGUGGUGCCUACGUGUUGAGAUCCUGGUCCCGCCACACACGUUCCACCAGCUGCUGUGUGAUGCCUGUGUCCAAGAUCAGGUUGUGCAGAAGGAAGUUGUUGCCUGGAACAGGAGGGCAGGGGUGGAGGGGGCAUCUUCUUGAAGCUCUCUGCCCACCCUCGUCCCCACCUCUAAGCUCCACCAGGAACCUUGCCCAUGACCUGGCCCAGGCCCAGCCCUUGGCAUGGGCCUGCAUAUUUUCCACAUCUGCCCGGUCUCUGGGUUCUUCAGGGCCCCAUGUUGCCUGGGCACUGCCCAGAUCCAGCUGCCCUGCCAGGCACUCACACUGCUUGGAGUCUGGAGUCACUUUCUCCAUGAGCUCAAUGAAGUUUUUCAGGAACUCGG